rnacentral:RNase_P_RNA from 1 species
AGGCAGCCGCUGGUAUUGAUAUCAGAGGAAAGUCCAUGCUCGCACGAUCUGCGAUGAUCGUAGUGUUUGUGCUGGUCCAAUCAAUAAGGCCAGGCAUCCCGCAAGGGAUGACGGCGGAGCUGAAACCUACAGAGCAAUCCAUGGUCAAGGCCCUUAAGGUGUCACAGUGACGAAGCUGACGGGGAAACCUGUCAGGUGGAACGAGAUAAACCCCGCAAGCGGGAAACCCAAAUGUGGUAGGGGAACCGGAACAUCCCAAAUGAAGGAUCGAACGGGUACUUUUGUACAGAUAAAUGGCUGCCGCUCUUCUUUGAAGAGAACAGAACAUGGCUUAU